UACAGAGGGUGCGAGCGUUAAUCGGAAUUACUGGGCGUAAAGCGCACGUAGGUGGCGACGUAAGUCGGGUGUGAAAGCCCCGGGCUCAACCUGGGAAUUGCAUUCGAGACUGCAUUGCUGGAGUACGGAAGAGGAGGGCGGAAUUCCCGGUGUAGCGGUGAAAUGCGUAGAUAUCGGGAGGAACAUCAGCGGCGAAGGCGGCCCUCUGGUCCAGUACUGACACUCAAGUGCGAAAGCGUGGGGAGCAAACAGG
rnacentral:rRNA from 1 species